rnacentral:rRNA from 1 species
AACAUGUAUGCAACCUACCUACAACAGGGGAAUAACCCGGAGUAAUUCGGACUAAUACCGCAUAUACAGGGGUCCGCAUGGGAAUAUUUGUUAAAGAUUUAUCGGUUGUAGAUGGGCCUGCGUUCCAUUAGGUAGUUGGUAGAGUAACGGCCUACCAAGCCGACGAUGGAUAGGGGAACUGAGAGGUUUAUCCCCCACACUGGAACUGAGACACGGACCAGACUCCUACGGGAGGCAGCAGUGAGGAAUAUUGGUCAAUGGUCGAGAGACUGAACCAGCCAAAUCGCGUGAAGGAAGACUGCCUUAUGGGUUGUAAACUUCUUUUUUACAGGAAUAAAAGACAUUACGUGUAAUGUAUUGCAUGUACUGUAAGAAUAAGCAUCGGCUAACUCCGUGCCAGCAGCCGCGGUAAUACGGAGGAAGCAAGCGUUAUCCGGAUUUAUUGGGUUUAAAGGGUGCGCAGGCGGGCAUUUAAGUCAGCGGUGAAAUUUCCAGGCUCGACCUGGGCACUGCCGUUGAAACUGGGCGCCUUGAGUAUAGAUGAAGUAGGCGGAAUUCGUUGUGUAGCGGUGACAUGCUUAGAUAUAACGAGGAACUCCGAUUGCGUAGGCAGCUUACUAAACUAUAACUGACGCUCAAGCACGAAAGCGUGGGGAUCAAACAGGAUUAGAUACCCUGGUAGUCCACGCCGUAAACGAUGAUUACUAGUUGUAUGCGAUAUAUGGUAUGUGUCUUAGCGAAAGCGAUAAGUAAUCCACCUGGGGAGUACG